CGGGGUCUGAGGUAACCAGUACAGCUCUGGUAAAGGGCUGUGCUCAGGGCCUGAGGUAACCAGUACAGCUCUGGUAAAGGGCUGUGCUCAGGGCCUGAGGUAACCAGUACAGCUCUGGUAAAGGGCUGUGCUCGGGGUCUGAGGUAACCAGUACAGCUCUGGUAAAGGGCUGUGCUCAGGGCCUGAGGUAACCAGUACAGCUCUGGUAAAGGGCUGUGCUCAGGGCCUGAGGUAACCAGUACAGCUCUGGUAAAGGGCUGUGCUCAGGG